CUGCUAUAUAAAUACAUAUAUACAUAUAUAUAUAUAUAUAUAUAUAUAUAUAUAUAUAUAUUUAUAUAGAUCAAAGGCCUUCUACCUGAUGGUGUUGUUGUAGUGUUGUGGUAGCCUCAUCUUGUAUUGUUUUAAAUACUGUGAUCUGAACUUUAUUGCAAUAUAUUGGGUUUCCGAUUCCAAGUUAAGUUCUCUGUUUCAGUUAUCGGUUUAUUGUGAGUUUGUGACCUGCUACUGGAUGUAUAUUUUCACAUUGUAAAGCCCAUUGUUCAAGUUUAUCCAAA